rnacentral:lncRNA from 1 species
CAUAUAUAUUAUAUGUAUAUUAAAUGCAUGUACAUCUUAAUUUUAAUGCAAAUAUAUAUAUAUAUAUUUGAGAUGAGGUCUUGCUGUGUUGCUCAGGCUGGUCUUGAACUCCUGGGUUCAAAAAUUCCUCCACCUCAGCCUCUCAAGUAGCUGGGAUUAUAGGCAUGUGCCACUGCACCUGGCUAAUUCAUAUUUUUAUACAGAUUCAGUACAUGUUUCUAUUUAAGAUUAAGUACAAGGGAUUAAAAUGUACUCAAUAAAAAAAGAUUAGAGAUUAGAAACACAUUUUAAUUAGAAAAUUGCCACCUCAAAUUCAUUUAGGAAGUAGGCAGGUAUAAAUAAAAAAUAGAACCACUUAGAGACUUUUCUGAAUAAGUGGCCCUGGGCUGGAAUUCUGGAGGGCUGUAUUCUGGUCACACCCCUAACUCUGAUUUUCCUUGUGACUUUUAGUAAUUGAUGGAUUCUUCAGGAGCUAGAAACAUAUUGGAUGAUCAAUAAAUACCUUUGAAUUUCAUUAAGUCCAGGAAAAAGCAUUUCAGGUCUUUUUUUCCCACAGGAUGAUUUUCAAUGCCAUUCAGAGGAAAUCUUGGGACAAACCCGGGAAAUGACAGGCUCCUGGCUCCUAUCUUUGGAGAUUUCAGAUGUUCUGGAUCAAGGGACCCUCGUGGUUACAUCAGGACUACCCAGAUAAUCCUUGAUACUCUCCUCAUCUCAAGGCCCUUAACUUCAUCCUAUCUGCAAAGUCCCUCUUGCCAAGUAAGGAUCUUAAUCUGUUGCCCAGGCUGGAGUGCAGAGACAUGGUCUUGUCUCACUGCAAGCUCUGCCCCCUAGUCCCAGGUGAUCCUCCCAUUUCAGCCUCCUGAGUAGCUGGGACUACAGGUACAUGCCACCACACCUAGCUAACUAAAAAAAAAAAAACUUUUUUGCUGAGGCUGGUUAUGAACUCCUGGGCUCAUGUGAUCCACCUGCCUCAGCCUCCCACAGUACUGGGAUUACAGGCAUAAGCCACUAUGCCUGGUCAAAACAUUUAAAAAAUAAUAAUUUCCUUUCCUGUAUCCAUACUGUUAUGGAAUCCCCUCUCAUGUGAACUCUGAACUUGGCCAUAUGACAUAAUUUGUUCAGUAAGACUAUUGCAAACGUGAUGGAAGCAGAUACUUGAAAAAUGCUUGCACACUAGGACUUGCCUUCUCUUGUACUCUUCAGCCCUUUCUGACUACCAUGUGAAGCGGCCUGGUGCAUAUACUAAGUGAGAAGAUACAUGUAACCUAGGUACCUUUGUCACCAAGCCAAUAGCUAAUACGGGAGGUAGCACCAAUCACUAAGCAGCACAAGCCACCAGACAUUUAGAUGAGGCCACCUGAGGUCAUCCAGGCAGCAGCUGACCUGAUAGAAGCCACAGGUAUGUGAAAGAGGCCAGCAGAGGGAAGACAAGCUGGGCCAGACCAGAAGAAUUGCCUGGCUGAUCAACAGAAUUAUGAACCAGAUUAAAUUUUGGGGGGAUGGUUGGCUAUGUGGCAAAAGUUAAUUAAUGUGGGAAGGGAUAGGUAAACUAGAAACCACAGUUGAGAGUAAGGCUGAAUUAAGGAAAGUUUAGUUGCAAGGGAAUGGUGACAAAGAAGAGCGCUUAAAGGCAAAAUCAUAGACAAGGCUUUUUGGAGAGAUCGUUUGCACAAGUACAGGAGGGUACAUUGAGUCUGACCCCUCCUUCCUCCUCCACCUUCAUGCCCUGACUCUGUGGAUGUUCAAUGUCACAAGAAAUGCUCCAAUAAUCACUUUCAUGUAAUGGUAUAAUGUCAUAGGAAAGAGCGUAAAAAUUCCCUGUUCUGAUUCUCCUAUUUAAUGGGAAGCUCAAAAAGAAAAAAUGACUUGCCUGUUUCAUCCUGAAAGUUUAGCUUAUACAGCGAUGUGCCACAUAAAGAUAUUUUGGGAUCGACAAUGGACCGCAUAUGUGACAGGUGGUGCCAUAAGAUUACAAUGGAGCUGAAAAAUUCCUGUUGCCUUGUGACCUGUUGCCUGUAGCCAUGGUACUGUUGUGGCACAAUGCAUUGCAUUUGUGGUGAUGCUGAUAGAAACAAACCGACUGUGCUGUGGGUGUUUCAAAGUAUAGAACACGCAAUUAUGUACAGUUUAUAGUACUUGACAAUGAUAAUAGAUGCCUAUGUCGCUGGUUUGUGUAUUUACUUUUUAUCAUUAUUUUAGAGUGUUCUCCUUCUACUUAUUAAAAAAAAAAACU